rnacentral:piRNA from 1 species
UAACACACCAGUGCCUGAAGGUGGAGAA